rnacentral:rRNA from 1 species
CCGCACGCGGGCUACAAUGUUGCAUUCAACGAGUUUAAGCUACCUCCUUGACCGAAAGGUCUGGGUAAUCUUUAAACGUGCAACGUGCUUGGGAUAGACUAUUGCAAUUAUUGGUCUUCAACCAGGAAUUCCUAGUAAACGCGAGUCAUCAGCUCGCAUUGAUUACGU